CGGCGAUCCGGGGUCUGGGCGCGGCGAGGUCUGGUGUGGCAGAUGUGGAUAGCUGGACCCUCCUGGGUGCCUCUGCGUUAUGUCGUUUGGUUGAUGCAUUUGGAGAGAAUCUGUGCUCUCCACAACUGCAGGGGCAACAUGCUUUCCUGGCCUCUUCAGAUCAGGGUGGCUGUUCUUGGGUGCUGCACCAAAACUCCAGCAGUGGGCUUUCUUCAAGUGGCCGGCUCACCUCAUUCCUGCCAAGACCCAGGUCCGUGUUCUCACAGUGCUGCCAUCUUUCCUCCGUGUGAGCGUGGGCUGUGCGGAGAGUGGACCUCGGUGUGUGCGGGGCUGCGUGCACUGCCAUCGCUCCCUCUACACGAGCCGGCGUGGACCCAGGGCUGAGCUGUGACCACGAGGGCCAUCCCGACGAGCCGCCAUGGACCCAGGGCUGAGCUGUGACCAUGAGGGCUAUCCCGACGAGCUGCCGUGGACCCAGGGCUGAGCCGUGACCAUGAGGGCCAUCCCGAAACUGUGAUUGUUUUCUGAUGAAGAAACCAAGGCUUUGUGACUAACUCAACCCCUCAAGAAGGACAAAACUAGCAUCAGAGCCCCUUGCUCCUGGGUCUGGCAAGAAUGCCUCUUGUUUGCUGAGAGGUCCACAGAUUUACCCGGCUCAAGACUGGGAGAUGGGAGGUGACCAGGUCAGUGCCAGCCUCUCUCUGAGCUCCUCUGAGUCGUGGCAGCUGAGGUGCUCCUCCGAGAAUGUUCUGCCAUCCGUGAGGUCGUGUACGCCUGGAAGCUUUUGUUCCAUUGAACUCUGCCAGGGAGCUAUACUUAGCCACGCGAGUGGAGGCCAGGAGUGGGUUCUCUGAAUAUAGAUAGUAGCAAGCAGGCUAUUUUCAAACACCUAGAGAACCCCCAUGAUUAUUCUGGGCCAAAAUGAUAUUUAUAGGAUGCUCUGGGCCCUUGGACAUGAAGGCAAUAACCUUAGCGCCUUUUGGCGUUCGGGAUAAGUUUCUAUCAACGGGGAGUGGAGAGAGGGACCCGGUCACCCAGAGGCCCGCUGUCCCUCAACACCUGUUUCCAGGAGGCCAGGCGUCUUCUUUGCUUUUACACUAUGAGUCAGAGAACAGCGAGAGGCACGCAGGGCCCUACUAAUUUUCCUUCCUGCACACCCUGGUGUGGGUCCUGUCUGAGGCCUGCCGUGUGCUAUUAGGGAAGACGUCAUCAGGGGACUUUUUCUGCUGUGAGGAGGGUGCAGCCCCUGCCUUUCAGAGCUCAGGACACCCUCUUCCUCUUGUCCAGGAUCCUCAGGGAUUUCCUAGGCUUCCACCCUCACCCAGACAUCACUGGACCGUCACUGAAACACCCGCUUCCAGUGUGCUCAGGUCCUGCAGCCUCCUGUCCAUCCUUGCCCCGCCUCCCGCCCGGAGGAAAGACUCUGACACUGCCCCUGGAAGAGGGAGGAGAGUGGAUGUGAUGAGUGAAGAUUUGGGUGGGGAAAGGAAGGCCUGAGUCCUGGGAGGAAGAGCUCUCCCCGCCCCGAGCCCCCGGAGACUGUGAGCAAGGCUGAGACGCCUCCUUCCUGGUGCUCAAGCUGCAGGUGUUGGAUAGGCCUCCAGAAGCCCAGAUUUUAAAUGACCGCUCCAGGUUAACCUGGGGAUGGUCAGGCAGAACAAGGAGGAGAGGCCAGCAGUGAAGGGCAGGGCUGGUGGGCAGUGGCUGGGGGUGUCCUGGGUGGGGCUGGCCACCCUCGCUGCCUCUGACUUGGGCCAGACCUGCGUUAAGUGGAGUGGCUCCUCCAUUCUUUACACCCCAGGCCCCUGGCAGGUGCCCUGCCUUUCCUCUGCCCCUCUCUCUGCCAACCCAUCCUCUCCCUCCCAGCCCCUGCCCGCCCAGAUAUAAAUAUAAGAGCAUUUUCCAUGGGCUGAGACAGAAGGGAAAACAUUCAGCUUUAUUUUCGGCUUGUGAAAUUCCUGUCCUUCAUUCCCAACAGGUGCAAUCGCCUCAUUUAGAUAUUGGGACCCAGAAAUAGAAGACAAUUUACAAUAUAGCUUCCUUUAGGGAUCUGGAUGCUACCAAACAAACAAACAAACAAAAAAAGCCCUCCUGUGAGAUGCCGAGACUUAAUAGAAACCGUGGUUGGAGCUCUUGCCUUUUUCCAGGCCGGUGGAGACCCUCACCCCUGGCAGCCUGACCGUGAAGCAGAGGAGGCAAGAGCUCCGGGAGACAGUCGGGAGGGAGGGGGCCCUGGAGGACAGGCUCCUAGCCCUACUCCUCCUCAAGACCCGGGUGCUGGCCUGUCCCCUGCCUUUGCCCCGAUGGGGAUGAGGGAGAGGAGAUGGGUCAGGGAACAGCUAUGGCCAUUGGGGAAGGUGACUUGGAUGCAACCUUUGAAAGAGAUGCUUCCAGUAAACCCCAUCGGUUAAGAUCAGCUGUCCCCCAUGAAAAAAAAAAAAAAAAAA
rnacentral:lncRNA from 1 species